UACGAAGGGGGCUAGCGUUGUUCGGAAUUACUGGGCGUAAAGCGCGCGUAGGCGGUGAUCUUUGUCAGAGGUGAAAUCCCGAGGCUCAACUUCGGAAUUGCCUUUGAAACGGGAUUGCUUGAGUCCGAGAGAGGAUGGCGGAAUUCCUAGUGUAGAGGUGAAAUUCGUAGAUAUUAGGAAGAACACCGGUGGCGAAGGCGAGUCUCUGGACAUUUCCUGACGCUGAGGCACGAAAGCCAGGGGAGCAAACGGG
rnacentral:rRNA from 1 species